UUGCCCUACGGGGCGCAGCAGUGAGGAAUAUUGGUCAAUGGCCGAGAGGCUGAACCAGCCAAGUCGCGUGAGGGAAGACGGCCCUACGGGUUGUAAACCUCUUUUGUCGGGGAGCAAAGAGAGUCACGUGUGACUCAUUGAGAGUACCCGAAGAAAAAGCAUCGGCUAACUCCGUGCCAGCAGCCGCGGUAAUACGGAGGAUGCGAGCGUUAUCCGGAUUUAUUGGGUUUAAAGGGUGCGUAGGCGGGACCUUAAGUCAGCGGUAAAAUUGCGGUGCUCAACGCCGUAGAGCCGUUGAAACUGGG
rnacentral:rRNA from 1 species